UGGGGAAUAUUGGACAAUGGGCGCAAGCCUGAUCCAGCCAUGCCGCGUGAGUGAUGAAGGCCCUAGGGUUGUAAAGCUCUUUCAGUGGUGACGAUAAUGACGGUAACCACACAAGAAGCCCCGGCUAACUUCGUGCCAGCAGCCGCGGUAAUACGAAGGGGGCUAGCGUUGUUCGGAAUUACUGGGCGUAAAGCGCGCGUAGGCGGAUUGUUCAGUGAGGGGUGAAAUCCCAAGGCUCAACCUUGGAACUGCCUUUCAUACUGGCAAUCUUGAGUUCGAGAGAGGUGAGUGGAAUUGCGAGUGUAGAGGUGAAAUUCGUAGAUAUUCGCAGGAACACCGGUGGCGAAGGCGGCUCACUGGCUCGAGACUGACGCUGAGGUGCGAAAGCGUGGGGAGCAAACAGGAUUAGAUACCCCCGUAGUCC
rnacentral:rRNA from 1 species